rnacentral:rRNA from 1 species
UACGAAGGGGGCUAGCGUUGCUCGGAAUCACUGGGCGUAAAGGGCGCGUAGGCGGCGUUUUAAGUCGGGGGUGAAAGCCUGUGGCUCAACCACAGAAUGGCCUUCGAUACUGGGACGCUUGAGUAUGGUAGAGGUUGGUGGAACUGCGAGUGUAGAGGUGAAAUUCGUAGAUAUUCGCAAGAACACCGGUGGCGAAGGCGGCCAACUGGACCAUUACUGACGCUGAGGCGCGAAAGCGUGGGUAGCAAACAGG